rnacentral:rRNA from 1 species
AUGAGCUACGGCCAGAGCAUCGCCGCAGGAUGCCUCGCCGGGGAGGAGAAGAAGACGUCAUGGCCGGAGUUAGUGGGAAAGUCCAUCGAGGAGGCUAGGGAGAUCAUCCUCAAGGACAUGCCUGAUGCGGACAUCGUCGUCGUCCCUACCGGCUCCGCGGUAACCGAGGACUUGAGGAGCAACCGUGUCCGCAUCUUCGUCGACAUUGUCGCGACCACUCCUAACAUUGGCUAG